AUCAUGGGCUGGUCGAGUUGGAGAUCCGCCUGUGCGACACGACGACUCUUUGCCGCAAAGAGUGCUAUAUAGGAGCCCCCCUAGGAAGAGUUGAAGCAGUCAAUGUAAAAAUCGUAGGAUUACUAAUUAUGCCGACUCGACUGGCAGGCCGACAUCACUGAACAGAAAUUACCGGCGCCCCACCGUUGUGUAGCUCCCCAAGAGGGUUGCUAAGAUUGAUUGUAGUGGCCCUGCAGAGGAACUGGGGAUCAUUUUUUUCUUUUUCGAAACCAAGAAUUGUGGAUCGAUAUGAUUGGGAGGCGUCCAUCGUGUACAUGUUUUGUAGAGAGAGAGAGAGAGAGAGAGAGAGAGAGAGAGAGAGAGAGAGUUGUGAGAGUUCCGGGACGAAAAGGAACGAAUGGAACAUUGGGGCGUAUGAACCUGUUUUUCAAAAAAAUAAUAGUAAUAUAAAAAAUGGUCGAAACAUCAUGAAACAUACAGUUGGCAACAAAUUUGAUGAAACGUUACGCUCACGUAAGAAAUUUAGGAACAAAAUGACUUUCGUGGUGUUGUCCAGGACAAGGUCAAAAUCAACACUAUAUUAGAAGUACUAUUCGCUCCGAUUUUUUUAUGCUCAGAUUUUAUGGGGAGUUUUUUAUUGUCAUUUUUGUAGUGAGUAGGCCAACAUGUCAAGUUUGUUCGAAAAAAGUUCAAAAAAUCAUUAACUUUUUUUCCUGAAUGGCUAAAAAAUCCCUAGAAAAUAGUUUAUGGGGUUCAUCUACAACCAAGUGUAUCCUGGUAUUUUUCGGGGCCGAAGCAUUAUAACUAGCCAGAUCGAUAAAUACCAGCUUUGUGGGUUGAGUUCUAUUUUUCCAACCAGAUCAAUGCUUCUGUGCGAGUGUAAUUGUCUAACUGGGCUAAGACUUUGGGCUUUUGUUUUGUAGUGCGCCGGGGUCAAUGAAAUCUUAACAGGGACUAGCUGAAGUGUUGACCCAAUCUUCUCCACAGAAAAAUGUUGAACCAUCAAACUACAUUGGUGUUGCGGGAGACCUAUAUUUCGGUUUUAUGUUUUUCUUCACCAGUUUUCUGUUUCACUGGUUUUCUUCGUUUCUUUAACGGUUUUCACUGAAUUUUCUUUCCUUUUCUCUUUCUUCCUUUUACUCGAAUAUCCGUUUAUGAUCCCAAGCUUAUCUGCACCCGGUCAAGUUUUUUUUUCAAAACAACUACUAGAAAAAUUCAGAAAAAUCCAUUUUUUGCAUGGUAGAUAAUUUGGUGCGUGAGAUGCGCUCCAAAUUUCAGAUCAUUUGGACAUAUGAGUAGCUCUUAGCAAAAAAGACAAAUUGGGUUAGAACAAUAUAUGAACAGUGAACUUUUUUACAGACCCCAAAUUUGUCUUUCACCAUCUUUCUUUGUUUUUUCUUUUCUUUUAUUCUUCAAAACAUGGCUACAUUAUUCAUACACAUUGGCACAUUUUUUGUGUACAUUAGGAACAUUUAUUUAUACAUGUUUAAUAUAUUUUAUAUACAUGAUUAACAUUUAAAAAAAGAUUUUAUGACUUCUUUUUUUCAUAAACAUUGUUCAUUUUAGUUAUAUAUCAGGAUGUUUUGUAAUACAUGUUUAACAUUUUGAAAAUAUAUGAUUAACAUUUAUUUAUACACAGUCAUCAUUUUAUAAAAUUUAUGUUUUUCUGUUCAAAUUUUUAAAUACAUGUUGUAAAAUUUUCAAUAUAUCUUUAUGAUUUCUAAAUACAUGAUUAACAGUUUUUUCAUAUGUAUGUUUUGAUGUCUAUUGUUUUUCAGACCCGCUGUACAUCUUUCCCAUAUACAUUAGAAACAUUUUUAUACACGUUAACAUCUGAAAUGCAUGAUUAAUAUUUUUUGGAAGACAGAACAUUUGUUGUUCGAAUAUGUGUUAAACAUUUUUUCCAAAUACGUCGUGAAACUUUUUUUCCAAAUGCUGUGAUGGACAUCUGAAAUGGACGAAGAGUGCACCUGGGCCAGACCAGUCCGGUCCUGGGUUAGCAAGUUAUGGGCCAUUAAAGCGUCACUGUCAGCCCUGCUUGGUCCAUUAAACGGGUCCACUAGUUGUACUACUUCCUAUAUAAAACACGGUGCGGUGGAGCGCCCGCUGCGUCCCCGAUCAAAACCAGGGGCGGAAGGGAUUGCUCGCCGUCCAUCCGCUCUCGGUCAUCGUGGCCUACCUUAUCCUCGCAAAAAAUAAAAUUAACAUGGCCUAGCCUAGUCAGAGUUGCAGUGUCAUCCUGUGGGAUUGUUGGUUUUGACGGAUCGCUUUACAGCCGAGCCGAGGCCAGAAAAUCAACGAUUUCGUACGUGGUGGGGCGCGUUGAUGAUGAAGCCGGCAGCAUCUUCUGCUUUAGGUAAGGCUUUAUCACCUUCUUCUUGGCUUUGUGGACUGCACUCGCGGUGAUGACUCAUGAGUCGUAAACUUUUAUUUUAUUUUAUUAUUAUUCGUGGGAGCGAUAGCGAUGAUUCAUUCUGCUAUGCACGACACGCGCUAGAUCGCUCACAAAACUAAACACACGCGUCUUUUUUUUUUUUUGACGGGAUUAGUUUGCAGUGAAUCCGUUUCUCUCGCGUCGCGUGUGGGCAUGUGCGAUCGAUCAAGCAAAGUUGUCGUGGGCAGGUCCCACGCACUGACGCACAUUAUGCGCGCCACCGUUUUUCCACCACCCAACAAAAGCUAGCCACCAACUUAGAAAAAACAAAAAAAAGCUAGCCACCAACUUCAAAAAAAAGAAGAAGAAAGAAACACAAAAGCUAGUCGCACGCACAUGCAUGCGCGACUCAUUUUUCCACCGCCCAACAAAAUCUAGUAUAAUCUAAUCUACUGACACAAGCUAGCGAGCGAGCUGGGUGAUGGAGAACCAAGAAUCGUCUCUUCUUUCUUUAAUCUUUAAAUAAAUAUAUAAAAAAUACAACUGUGAAAAAAGAAAGCUACCUUUAUUGGGUGGAAACCAUGGGAGACAGCGCGCAUCAUCUCUCAUAGGUGCCUCGGCCUAUUAAAUGGACCACUAGCUAUAGCAGUAUAGCUCUUACUAGUAUAUACAGUAGCACAGUGCGGUUAGUCAUGGCCUAGGCUAGGCAGAGCUUUUCCUCUCCCUAGCCUCUUCAUGUCGGUCGUUGGCAUCGACGAACGAAUGCCGAGCACAAGUUCAUCUCGUCCGCUUCUACAAAAGCAAAGCCGCAGAGCUUCCUACGUGGUGAGCACCUUUGCUAAGGUAUAUAUAUCUUGCCUUCCCCAUCUCAUUUCUUCGCUUUGUACAACGUUUUUUUUUUCUUUUACAUUUUAUUCGCGGGCUUGUGGCAACUAGGAUUUCAAGUUGUUUCCUUGAAUUGGAGGACUUUCAAGGUAACUGGUGUCGAUCAGAGAUGACUUAAUUAGUGCGCUCAUAUUUCUGAAGCCAUGUGGUUCUGCUAUACAGGAAUAUGUUUUCACACUGCCACACUAGCUACUUUUAUUAUUUCGAAAUGUAGUUCCCUAUGUUUAUCCAUACGGUAUUUGUUUAGUAUAGUCCCACCACUUGUUGUCAAGUUUUGCAUUUCUUAUCACGGUACAAAGUUUACCUCUGCCGCUAUACGAUGUACACACCUUUCUUUGGUAUUCUUUUUGCUACAUAGAUAUUGCAUAUUACUCCCUCCGUUCAAUAAUUCUUUUCGUGGCUUUAGUUCAAAUUUUGAACUAAAAUCACGACAAGAAUUAUGGAACGGUCCAAAAAACAAAAAACUCAAGUUGAAACAGGUCAUUCAACACCAUAUGUUUGGCUCAUUAAGUCAUUAUGUGGCGGAUUCCUUCUAAUCCUGCAUGGUGGUUCAAACUCAUUAUCCUGCAUGGUUCAAUAGUCAUAUAAAUUAUGCUUCUGUUUGGGUCAAACUCAUUAGUGCUUUUGUUUGGACGCAACUUGCCUCAAGUUUGAUUUGUUUCCUAAUUAUUCUGCAUGCAAAAAUUUCCUUGCAUGAGAUCGCUAGGGAGUCAUUUCGCUCUUAUAUUUCUUCACUAAUCCAAUAUCUCAUCCUACACGAUGCAACAAUAAAUCCUAUAUCACACAUACCCGUUGUGCACACACUGCGGCCGGUCAUCGAAGAGCUUCGGCAACCACAUAAGCACCUCACCCUCGACCGGCUGCAAUGGAGACCGCAGCAUGGUCCUAGUGCACCACGACGACGGUUGGUCGACCUUGAGGCGCCAAGGCGAGUUAUCAAAACCAAACCUGGGUGUUGAUGCUUUGCUGAGGUACGUCUGAUUCGACUAAUUUCUGUUACGUCAAUCUAGAUAUGGACCGGCUUGCAGCUAUACUUUACGAUCUCUAUAGGAUCCAGGGUUUGCAUGUGUGCAGAUUUUACAUGCGUGGAGUUAGGAGCGAGACAUGGAGGUGUGGACAGUUCAUGUGGAGAUUUUGCAUGAGUUCCUCUCCGCAGGCUCUUCAUGUCGGUCGUUGGCAUUGACGAUCGAAUGCCGCGCACAAGUUUAUCUCGUUCUCUUCUAGAAAAGCCAGCGCUUCCUACGUGGUGCCGCGUCACGACGAGUGAGCACCUUGGUUAAGGUAUGCGUUGCCUUUGUUAGAAGGGAGAGAGAGGUUUGGUGGAAUAUUUCGUUGUAUUAUUGAGCCUCGAGGGCGAGUAUAUAUUGAGUACAAGACUUGGAGGGCAAGACGCCUCUCCUGAAGAUAAGGUAGGAGACGGAUUACAAAUCCUAGACUACCAAAUACAAGUAUCCCAAAUAUAUCUCUAACAACCUUCUCCAUCUCAUUUCUAAGCUUUGUGGACUGCAGUGAGCACUCCUAGUCGUACAACGCGGUGACGGGUCUUUACAUUUUAUUAGGGCUCGCAGAAGCAUUUCAAGCAGUUUCCUUGAAUCGCAGGACUUCCAAGGUAAUCGGGCAUCAGAGAUAACUUACUGCGGCCAUAUUUUUGAAGCCAUGGUUCUGCUAUACAUGAAUGUAUUUACACUGGUACACUACUUUUAGUUAUUUCGAAAUGUAGUUUGCUAUGUUUAUCCAUAUGGUAUUUUUUGUUUGCUAUAUAUAUAGUCCCACCACUUGUUGUCAAGUUUCGCAUUUCUUAGCGCAGUAUGAAUUUUACCUUUGCCACUAUAGGACGUAUAUCCAACUUCCUUUGGCAUUCUUUAUGCUAGACUAGAUAGAUGUACUAUUGCAUGGUACUCCCCCCAUUCCAUAAUUCGUGUCGUGGCUUUAGUGUUUUAGUUUAAACUAAAACCAAUUUAAAACAAAAAAAAUCAAGUUAAACAAGCCUUUCAUCAAUGUUUUGCUCAUUAAGCCAUCAUGUGGUGGAUUCCUUCUCAUCUUCCAGGGUUCAACAGUCAUAAAUUGUGCUUCCGUUUGGGUCAAACUUGUUAGUGCUUUUGUUUGGAGGCAACUAGCCGCAAGUUUGAUUUGUUUCCUAGUUAUUUUGCAUGCAAAACUUUCCUUGCAUGAGAUAGCAUCAACGUUUGGACUCUUUGAUACGCUCCGCAGCUCCUAUAUUUCUUUGCUGCUCUAAUACCUCAUCCUACACAAUGCAACAACAACAAAAGAAGUACCUCAUCCUGUUUCCUAUAUCUCUUGCAUUGACACACAUACCCAUUGUGCACACGCCGCGGCCGGUCAUCGAAGAGCUUCUGCCACCACAUAAGCACCUCACCCUCGACCGGAUGCAAUCCAUACCGUAGCACGGUCCUACUGCACCACGACGACGGUUGGUCGAGGCGCCAAGGAUUCAAGCAACGUUGGUGAUAUCUCGGUUCAAGGAUUCCUAACUACAACUUCCCUUAACUAGACGUUCCAUCUCCCCCUUUCUAGCCAAGCUUUUGAUGAAGUGAAAGAUUUGCAACUUCAAAUGGCAAACACUACUUUAAAUGGAUCAAUGGACAGCUGGACUUACUCGUGGGGCUCGAAAGUUUACUCUGCGCACAGAUAUUACACAUACUACUUCAGAGACAUGCAUGCUCAUGACACGUUCAAGUGGAUAUGGAAAUCAAGGGCCACGAUGAAAAUUAAAGUUUUUGGUUGGCUCCUCCUGGUUGAUCGGUUAAACACUCGCAACAUGCUCAAAAGAAGGCAUUAUAAUAUUGGAGAGGAUCACAGCUGCCUUCUCUGCGACUCUCCCGAUGAAGAAACUCUGGAACAUCUAUUUUUUGAGUGCUCCUUCAGCUUCCAUUGCUGGGAAGCCCUUCAUAUUCCCUGGGCUGCGGGGGAGACAACAAUCCAAAGGAUAUCAGAGGCCAAACUUGGUUGGAACCGACCCCUCUUCAUGGAAACAUUUCUGUUGGCUGCUUGGAGUAUUUGGAAGGAGAGGAACAACAAGCACUUUAGGAGAAUUGCACCAUCAAAAGAAUCCUGGCUAAGAAGAUUCAAGGAAGAUUUUUCUCUCCUCACUCAUAGGGUGAAGGAGAAGCACAAAGACUCUAUCCCCUCUAUCCUAGCCUCUAUAGUCUAGUGUUUCACUCUACCCCAUCUCAUGGGCAUGUAAACUCUUUGUACAUUGUGGCCCAUUCUUUAAUUUAAUUCACAGUAGAAGGUUCUCCUACUGUUAAAGGUUAAAAAAAGGCUUUGCAUCCGA